AGAAAUUUUUGCUCAUGGUAAAAGAUAGAAAUUUUUACAUCUCCACUAACUGAAAAUCUCAAAACCCUGGUAUAAGAUAGGCAUGCUGAAAUAUGCACAGCUAAAAGAGAGAUGAAAAAAGAAGAGAGGACAUAAUCAGAAGUUACUAUUAAAGGAUUAUUAUUGCAAUUUCCCCUCUCUCUCCAUUUUUUCAAAUGCUUGUAUCACUCGUAUAUACAUUGAUAUCUCAAUAACAUGAUCAAAGUAGCAGAGACCUAGAUAUUUG
rnacentral:misc_RNA from 1 species